GACGAACGCUGGCGGCGUGCUUAACACAUGCAAGUCGAACGGAAAGGCCCUGCUUUUGUGGGGUGCUCGAGUGGCGAACGGGUGAGUAACACGUGAGUAACCUGCCCUUGACUUUGGGAUAACUUCAGGAAACUGGGGCUAAUACCGGAUAGGAGCUCCUGCUGCAUGGUGGGGGUUGGAAAGUUUCGGCGGUUGGGGAUGGACUCGCGGCUUAUCAGCUUGUUGGUGGGGUAGUGGAUUACCAAGGCUUUGACGGGUAGCCGGCCUGAGAGGGUGACCGGCCACAUGGGGCCUAAGGUACGGCCCAGACUCCUACGGGAGGCAGCAGUGGGGAAUAUUGCAGAAUGGGCGGAAGCCUGAUGCAGCAACGCCGCGUGCGGGAUGACGGCCUUCGGGUUGUAAACCGCUUUCGCCUGUGACGAAGCGUGAGUGACGGUAAUGGGUAAAGAAGCACCGGCUAACUACGUG
rnacentral:rRNA from 1 species